rnacentral:misc_RNA from 1 species
UUUGCUACUCAUCGGCACACUGAUGUAAUUGCUGAUCCAUUAGGUCAAGCUAAUCAAUAUGCUUUCAGGACAGAGAACUCGGACCAAAGCCUAAAUAAUGAACGUAGAAACAACAGUCAGUUUCAUAAUAAUGGGUCUAUCUCCAAGGAUGAGAAGGUUUUGUUUUCUCAGCAUAAAGAAAAGAAUCGUACCAUUAGAUCUGAUUCUGGCAAAUGUAAGACUAAGGAUCGUGAUUCAAAUGAAUCUUCCGAUCAAAGAAUAGAUGAGGGGAAAUUGACAUCCGG